rnacentral:rRNA from 1 species
GCUUGCUGGGGGGAUUAGUGGCGAACGGGUGAGUAACACGUGAGUAACCUGCCCUUGACUCUGGGAUAAGCCUGGGAAACUGGGUCUAAUACCGGAUAUGACUCCUCAUCGCAUGGUGGGGGGUGGAAAGCUUUUGUGGUUUUGGAUGGACUCGCGGCCUAUCAGCUUGUUGGUGGGGUAAUGGCCUACCAAGGCGACGACGGGUAGCCGGCCUGAGAGGGUGACCGGCCACACUGGGACUGAGACACGGCCCAGACUCCUACGGGAGGCAGCAGUGGGGAAUAUUGCACAAUGGGCGGAAGCCUGAUGCAGCGACGCCGCGUGAGGGAUGACGGCCUUCGGGUUGUAAACCUCUUUCAGUAGGGAAGAAGCCGCGAGGUGACGGUACCUGCAGAAGAAGCGCCGGCUAACUACGUGCCAGCAGCCGCGGUAAUACGUAGGGCGCAAGCGUUAUCCGGAAUUAUUGGGCGUAAAGAGCUCGUAGGCGGUUUGUCGCGUCUGCUGUGAAAGACCGGGGCUCAACUCCGGUUCUGCAGUGGGUACGGGCAGACUAGAGUGCAGUAGGGGAGACUGGAAUUCCUGGUGUAGCGGUGAAAUGC